rnacentral:rRNA from 1 species
AUGAACGAAAGCUUCCCUUCCAUCCUAAAUUGGAACGUUCGCGGUCUUAAUUGUCCAAACCGUCACGCCGUCGUCCACGAGACCAUUGCCACGACCCCGUGCAACAUUGUUUGCCUCCAGGAGACCAAAUUGGCCGUGGUUGACCCCUUCCUGGCUGCCUUCCUUGGGGGCCAGAGAUUGAAAAGCUAUGCUAAAAAGCCCGCUGAUGGCACAAGAGGAGGCAUUCUUCUACUCUGGAAUGAGGACAUAAUCAAGGUGGACAAUAUUGCCACUGGAUCUUUCAGCCUAUCUGCAAACAUCACCCUGAUCAAUACCGCCACUUCUUUCAAGCUGACAUCUCGUAGCAAUCUCAAAGAUGCUUUAUUUCAAGAGCUUGUGCGCCUGAAACCUCAGCAAGGCAUGAGAUGGAUGGUGUCGGGUGAUUUCAACCAAAUUUAUUGUGCCCGGGACAAAAACCGCACAAAUGUUGAUCGUAGCCGCCUCGUGCGCUUCCGAAAUUCACUCAACACCUGUGAACUGAAAGAAGUUCACCUACAAAAUAGGAAAUUUACUUGGAGCAAUGAACAGGCCAACCCAACCUUGAGCAGAUUGGACCGUUUUUUCUGCAAUGAUGACUAG